UUUUGUCUAUUUACAGAGUAUAUUUAUGUAAACAGUGGCAGGAAUUGGGAGUAUUCAACGAUCACACUGCCAUGGCAACCGGUGUCAGAUUUGGUCACAACUCAACAUUUGUUUCUUCAGUCAGUAUGGAUAGAUCUGUCAAAUUCUUUGGGAUGAGCUAAAACCAGGAACAAUCUGUGAAUGAAAUCAUAAUUAUUGUUAGUAUCAUCAUCACAUAUAUUUUGGUUUAUAUAAGGUAGAGGUUGAACUUAGUUCUGUAGAACGCCAUGACUGCAUUAUGUCAACAAAUAUCCUGCAGUCAAAUAAAACUGUUUUGUUUAACUUUAUUUUAUAUAGAUGUCAUUAUUAGUACAUUUAGACACUAAUGUUAAUUUUAAAUUCAAAAGUAAAAUUUGUUUGCAAUUUUUAAACAUUUGUACAGUAAGUGAUAGUGAUUUUCAGCAAUGAUGUAUUGAAUUAUUAAAACCAUUAAAAGUCAUUCAAUAUUACUGAUUUAGUACUUUUCCAUGCAAAUUGAUUUAUUUGGUUUGUGGAACAUGAACUAUGUAUGAAAAAUUACACAAAAAAGUACUAUUUUCAUUGGUGCCAAUUUUUUAAGGAUAGAGGAAAACAUAUCCAAUUUUGUGCUUUUACAAAGGUCUGCUUAAAAACCUACUUUGUUGACCAUUUGAGUUAAUUUUACCUGUAUCCAAGAAAUUCAUUCAAAUUGGCAUCCCACUAAUAAUAAUGAGUCCACAGUAUGUAAAAUUACAAAGGGAGAUAAUUGCUGAAUCUUUUGGGAUUUUGGAAGUACCCACUUAGCUAGCCAAAUCCAUUCUAAUGCAAUAGCCCUAAUGGUCUAUCACAUGAGAGUGUAGGUUAAUUUCUAGAUAUCCUUUUGGGUUAAUUGCUAUACUGUAAAUUCAGAAAUUAUUGCGAUGCUUUUAUUAUUGUGAAAAAUGGGUUUGGGUUAUAAUCGCACUGAUUUAAACUCGCAUUUUGAAAUUUUUUUAUAUGAAUUAAACAGGAUUUUUCUCAAUAUUGCAAAAAAUAUAAUCUCAUUUUAGUCCAAAAUAACAAAAUCGCAAUAAUUAAUGAUGUUACAGUAUUAGGUUGCUAUUUUGUAGAUAUUUUUCCUAUUCUCCUUUUGUUCAUAUUGAAUGGAGAUAUAAGUUAACUAUUGUAAACUCUCAAACUGUUUCUCAAUAUUCUAAACAGUAAUAAAUAUACCUCUAAAAAGGGGAAAUCAGCAGAAAAAUAAUAGAAGGUGUCCAUUUUUUAUUUUCACAUGUGACCUAUCAAUAUAGUUUUGUCAUAAAACAUAUACAUUAAUAACAACAUAUUUUUGUGAUCACAUGUUAUAAUCAUUUCAUUCUUCAUGAGGCCAAGCAAAAGAAAAAUGUAUUAGAACAUAAUGUUUUUUUGUAUUUAAAAUUGCAAGUGAAAAAUUAUAAUUUUUCAAGACUAAGAGCACUUUUUGUUAAUCAUAGAUGGGUAUUUGAGUAUUUGACCUUGACCUUUAAUUUUGUUUGACUCUCAUUAUCAUCAUCAUUUGUAUGAAUGGAAGUGGUAAAAUAUGUAUGAUGAGAUGAACUUUUAGUUUAUGUUAUUUUGAUGACCUUUGUGUGUUAUAGUUGGUUACAGCAGAAUUAUGUCAAAUAUCAUCAAAUAAUAUUAUUUUAUAACAUUUGUAAUAUUGUAAACCAAAUAAUUUUCCUAAACGAUUUAUUGUCACGAUUUUUGCGAGUAGAAAAAAUUACGCAAAUAUAAAUCGUUGAAAAUAGGGAAAACUUUGAUUUUUCCUUAAUUAUCUACAUCAAGUUAAUUUGGGAAUUGUGAAAUUAAAUCACUGUCAUAUAUAGGUUAAAAAGGGCUAAAUGUGAAAUAAAGUAUCCUUGAAAAUAAGUUGGUGCGAAAUAAAGUAUCCUUGAAAAUAAGUUGAUGCGAAAUAAAGUAUCCUUGAAAAUAAGUUGAUCCGAAAUAAAGUAUCCUUGAAAAUAAGUUGGUGUACAGUAUUGAGAGAAAGAAGCAUCUAUUUUAAAAUGUAAUUAUGUAAGAGACAGCUUUGUAUUCAAGAAUAAAUGAAUGUACAGUGAUGGUUGAUUUCAAUUGUUGAAAAGUUUUCAAUUACUUGUUCAUGUGAAUUAUACAGCAUUUAUUGCAAUUGGUAAAUUUGAUAAACUUUAUUUAUCAAGAUGUAUUUUAUAAAUCAUAAAAUCUAUAUAGCUAAGACUCUAUGUUAGAACAACAUUUGUUAAAUAAUAGCAAAUUGAAUACCUGACAUUUUUGGCUCUCAGAUAUUGAAAAAAAUUAGAAAUGAGCACAUUCAAUCAAAUUGAUAAAGACAUGAGAAUAUUAUUUACAUUGACAAAUAUAUCAGAAUCAACAGCUUUAUAGAGGUACCUUGAUAACUUAGCAGUGUCGACCACAUUUAUAUACUGUGGAUUCAUUUAUUUUCAUGGGUAUCAAUUUUGGUGUAUUGAGGAAAAUUUACAUUUCUUUGUUAUUUGGUUUAGUGGUUUUGCCAAGCUCUGCAUACAAAGCCUAUAGACAUUUUGUAAUUUGUUGAAUGUAACUGUAACUACUGCUUUUUAACAAAUAAACACUUGGUGUUCUUAAUGAUCUUAUUUGUAUGCCCC
rnacentral:lncRNA from 1 species